rnacentral:rRNA from 1 species
UACGUAGGGUGCGAGCGUUAAUCGGAAUUACUGGGCGUAAAGCGUGCGCAGGCGGUUUCACAAGCUAGAUGUGAAAGCCCCGGGCUUAACCUGGGAAUGGCAUUUAGGACUGUGGAGCUCGAGUGCGGCAGAGGGAGGUGGAAUUCCACGUGUAGCAGUGAAAUGCGUAGAGAUGUGGAGGAACACCGAUGGCGAAGGCAGCCUCCUGGGCCGACACUGACGCUCAUGCACGAAAGCGUGGGAGCAAACAGG